rnacentral:rRNA from 1 species
GCUCAGAUUGAACGCUGGCGGCAGGCCUACNACAUGCAAGUCGAGCGGUAGCACAGAGAGCUUGCUCUCGGGUGACGAGCGGCGGACGGGUGAGUAAUGUCUGGGAAACUGCCUGAUGGAGGGGGAUAACUACUGGAAACGGUAGCUAAUACCGCAUAAUGUCGCAAGACCAAAGUGGGGGACCUUUGGGCCUCAUGCCAUCAGAUGUGCCCAGAUGGGAUUAGCUAGUAGGUGGGGUAACGGCUCACCUAGGCGACGAUCCCUAGCUGGUCUGAGAGGAUGACCAGCCACACUGGAACUGAGACACGGUCCAGACUCCUACGGGAGGCAGCAGUGGGGAAUAUUGCACAAUGGGCGCAAGCCUGAUGCAGCCAUGCCGCGUGUGUGAAGAAGGCCUUCGGGUUGUAAAGCACUUUCAGCGGGGAGGAAGGCGUUAAGGUUAAUAACCUUGGCGAUUGACGUUACCCGCAGAAGAAGCACCGGCUAACUCCGUGCCAGCAGCCGCGGUAAUACGGAGGGUGCAAGCGUUAAUCGGAAUUACUGGGCGUAAAGCGCACGCAGGCGGUCUGUCAAGUCGGAUGUGAAAUCCCCGGGCUCAACCUGGGAACUGCAUUCGAAACUGGCAGGCUAGAGUCUUGUAGAGGGGGGUAGAAUUCCAGGUGUAGCGGUGAAAUGCGUAGAGAUCUGGAGGAAUACCGGUGGCGAAGGCGGCCCCCUGGACAAAGACUGACGCUCAGGUGCGAAAGCGUGGGGAGCAAACAGGAUUAGAUACCCUGGUAGUCCACGCCGUAAACGAUGUCGAUUUGGAGGUUGUGCCCUUGAGGCGUGGCUUCCGGAGCUAACGCGUUAAAUCGACCGCCUGGGGAGUACGGCCGCAAGGUUAAAACUCAAAUGAAUUGACGGGGGCCCGCACAAGCGGUGGAGCAUGUGGUUUAAUUCGAUGCAACGCGAAGAACCUUACCUGGUCUUGACAUCCACAGAACUUUCCAGAGAUGGAUUGGUGCCUUCGGGAACUGUGAGACAGGUGCUGCAUGGCUGUCGUCAGCUCGUGUUGUGAAAUGUUGGGUUAAGUCCCGCAACGAGCGCAACCCUUAUCCUUUGUUGCCAGCGGUUAGGCCGGGAACUCAAAGGAGACUGCCAGUGAUAAACUGGAGGAAGGUGGGGAUGACGUCAAGUCAUCAUGGCCCUUACGACCAGGGCUACACACGUGCUACAAUGGCAUAUACAAAGAGAAGCGACCUCGCGAGAGCAAGCGGACCUCAUAAAGUAUGUCGUAGUCCGGAUUGGAGUCUGCAACUCGACUCCAUGAAGUCGGAAUCGCUAGUAAUCGUAGAUCAGAAUGCUACGGUGAAUACGUUCCCGGGCCUUGUACACACCGCCCGUCACACCAUGGGAGUGGGUUGCAAAAGAAGUAGGUAGCUUAACCUUCGGGAGGGCGCUUACCACUUUGUGAUUCAUGACUGGGGUGAAGUCGUAACGAGGU